rnacentral:rRNA from 1 species
UUUACUCCUACGGGAGGCAGCAGUGGGGAAUAUUGCACAAUGGGCGCAAGCCUGAUGCAGCGACGCCGCGUGAGGGAUGACGGCCUUCGGGUUGUAAACCUCUUUCAGUAGGGAAGAAGCGAAAGUGACGGUACCUGCAGAAGAAGCGCCGGCUAACUACGUGCCAGCAGCCGCGGUAAUACGUAGGGCGCAAGCGUUAUCCGGAAUUAUUGGGCGUAAAGAGCUCGUAGGCGGUUUGUCGCGUCUGCCGUGAAAGUCCGGGGCUCAACUCCGGAUCUGCGGUGGGUACGGGCAGACUAGAGUGAUGUAGGGGAGACUGGAAUUCCUGGUGUAGCGGUGAAAUGCGCAGAUAUCAGGAGGAACACCGAUGGCGAAGGCAGGUCUCUGGGCAUUAACUGACGCUGAGGAGCGAAAGCAUGGGGAGCGAACAGGAUUAGAUACCCUGGUAGUCCAUGCCGUAAACGUUGGGCACUAGGUGUGGGGGACAUUCCACGUUUUCCGCGCCGUAGCUAACGCAUUAAGUGCCCCGCCUGGGGAGUACGGCCGCAAGGCUAAAACUCAAAGGAAUUGACGGGGGCCCGCACAAGCGGCGGAGCAUGCGGAUUAAUUCGAUGCAACGCGAAGAACCUUACCAAGGCUUGACAUGAACCGGACCGCUGCAGAAAUGUGUUUGCCCCUUUG